GUGCGGGUUGGUGUAGCGGAUGCAUGUCGCUCUGUGAAAGCGAAGGCGCGGUUCGACUCCGCGCCCGCACC
rnacentral:tRNA from 1 species